rnacentral:rRNA from 1 species
CAGUCGCCGCGGUAAUACGAAGGGGGCUAGCGUUGUUCGGAAUUACUGGGCGUAAAGCGCACGUAGGCGGAUAUUUAAGUCAGGGGUGAAAUCCCGCAGCUCAACUGCGGAACUGCCUUUGAUACUGGGUAUCUUGAGUAUGGAAGAGGUUAGUGGAAUUGCGAGUGUAGAGGUGAAAUUCGUAGAUAUUCGCAGGAACACCAGUGGCGAAGGCGGCUAACUGGUCCAUAACUGACGCUGAGGUGCGAAAGCGUGGGGAGCAAACAGGAUUAGAGACCCCAGUAGUCCCUGUCUCUUAUAC